AUACGUAGGGGGCAAGCGUUGUCCGGAAUUAUUGGGCGUAAAGCGCGCGCAGGCGGCCUGCUAAGUCUGAUGUGAAAGCCCACGGCUCAACUGUGGAGGGCCAUUGGAAACUGGUAGGCUUGAGUGCAGGAGAGGAGAGCGGAAUUCCCGGUGUAGCGGUGAAAUGCGUAGAGAUCGGGAGGAACACCUGUGGCGAAGGCGGCUCUCCGGCCUGUAACUGACGCUGAGGCGCGAAAGCGUGGGGAGCAAACAGGAUUAGAUACCCUGGUAGUCCACGCCGCAAGCGAUGAGUGCUAAGUGUCGGGGGUGACCAACCCUCGGUGCUGUCGCUAACGCAAUAAGCACUCCGCCUGGGGAGUACGGCCGCAAGGCUGAA
rnacentral:rRNA from 1 species